rnacentral:misc_RNA from 1 species
GAUGAAGAACGCAGCGAAAUGCGACAAGUAAUGUGAAUUGCAGAAUUCCGUGAAUCAUCGAAUCUUUGAACGCACAUUGCGCCCCCUGGUAUUCCGGGGGGCAUGCCUGUCCGAGCGUCAUUGCUGCCCUCAAGCACGGCUUGUGUGUUGGGCCUCCGUCCUCCUCCCGGGGGACGGGCCCGAAAGGCAGCGGCGGCACCGCGUCCGGUCCUCGAGCGUAUGGGCUUCGUCACCCGCUCUUGUAGGCCCGGCCGGCGCUUGCCGACACAUCAAUCUUUUUUCCAGGUUGACCUCGGAUCAGGUAGGGAUACCCGCUGAACUUAAGCAUAUCAAUAAGCGGAGGA